UACGUGGGGUGCAAGCGUUGUUCGGAAUUACUGGGCGUAAAGGGCGAGUAGGCGGCGUUCUAAGUCAGACGUGAAAUCCCCCGGCUUAACCUGGGAACUGCGUCUGAUACUGGGAGGCUAGAGUAUGGGAGAGGGAUGUGGAAUUCCAGGUGUAGCGGUGAAAUGCGUAGAUAUCUGGAGGAACACCGGUGGCGAAGGCGGCAUCCUGGACCAUAACUGACGCUGAUCCGCGAAAGCUAGGGGAGCAAACGGG
rnacentral:rRNA from 1 species